rnacentral:snRNA from 1 species
GAGUGUUGAGCCUCUUGCCUUCUCUCUUGCACAGCAAAGUUUGGAGUCAUCUUUCAUCCAUAGGUACAGGGAGUGCUGGCCAUUCCUGGCAGACGAACUUCCCUGUAGAGGAGGACUGUUCCUCGGUCAAGGGCAUGCGAGUAGCUGCACUCCCCUGCCAGAACCUCCGAACAAGCUCUCAAGGCCCAUUUGUAAGAGAAUGUAAGGUAGUCAAGCUUCUAAGACUCCAGAUACAUCCAAAGGAGGCACUGCAUGUGGCUGUCUUCCUUUCUUA